UCAGAAACUUAAAGGAAGUUGACGGGGCCCGCACAAGCGGAGGAGCAUGUGGUUUAAUUCGAUGAUACGCGAGGAACCUUACCUGGGCUUAAAUGCUUAAUGACGUACUGGGAAACUGGUAUUUCUUCGGACAUUUUGCAAGGUGCUGCAUGGUUGUCGUCAGCUCGUGUCGUGAGGUGUCGGGUUAAGUCCCAUAACGAGCGCAACCCCUAUUGUUAGUUGCCAUCAGGUCAUGCUGGGGACUCUAACAAAACUGCCCGCGUAAGCGUGGAGGAAGGUGGGGAUGACGUCAAAUCAGCACGGCCCUUACGUCCAGGGCUACACACGUGCUACAAUGGCCGGUACAGAGGGCAGCCACUUGGUGACAAGGAGCAAAUCUCAAAAGCCGGUCUCAGUUCGGAUCGGAGUCUGUAACUCGACUCCGUGAAGUUGGAUUCGCUAGUAAUCGUAGAUCAGCAAUGCUACGGUGAAUACGUUCCCGGGCCUU
rnacentral:rRNA from 1 species